CGGGGUGAGUAACGCGUGGAUAACCUGCCUCACACUGGGGGAUAACAGUUAGAAAUGACUGCUAGUACCGCAUAAGCGCACAGUACCGCAUGGUACGGUGUGAAAAACUCCGGUGGUGUGAGAUGGAUCCGCGUCUGAUUAGCCAGUUGGCGGGGUAACGGCCCACCAAAGCGACGAUCAGUAGCCGACCUGAGAGGGUGACCGGCCACAUUGGGACUGAGACACGGCCCAA
rnacentral:rRNA from 1 species